UAGCUCAGUUGGUUAGAGCAUCUGACUGUUAAUCAGGGGGUCGUAGGUUCGAGUCCUAC
rnacentral:tRNA from 1 species